CAACUGCUGCGACACUGUUUUAGACAAACUAAUGAAACGGAAGUUCGCGAGAGAGUGUGUGCAUGCGCUGGAAGGGUUGCAUAAAAUUUUCGAAAAAUUCCAGAUAAGCUAUCUGUACGACGGGAAAGGAAAAACCGGCAUCGGUUUUAUUCAUUGUUCCCAGGCGCAAGCAAAUCCUCAUGGCUGUCGGGGAAUCGGAUAAGCUUAAUUAAGUCCAAAAAAUUCUGUAGUAGCCAAUCCAGGCCGCCAAUAAUUUUACAUCAACUCUCACCUAAUUUUGUCGUUACACCGACUCUAGCGGGCGCCGGGAGCUAAUUUAUUUAUUCACUGAAAAACCGCCCAUCUCCUUACUCAGCAUUUAAGAAUCAAUGGCAAUUCCGCAAACCGGAAGCCCCUGACACCACAUACGAGCUAUUCUGUCAUCAGGAUUGACUGGGGAGCGUAGAGACCAACUGAAUUCAGAAUAAACGUCAAAGGCGAUCAAAAUCAGAAAGACAUCCAGCCAACGCCAUCUACGUUCAAGACGCAGGUUUCGGUGUGCUCACUUAAAAAUCCAAGCGUUUCUUAAAACCAUCGGACAUGGAAAAACAGAUUCCAACGCAGCGCACUUAUCUUAUGAAAUGAUGCGUACAAAUAACUAUGUCUCCGGAAGCACCUGCUCGAUCUUUCAAGGUUUAGAAACUGGGCGAAUUGCUAUCGUUGCUGAAACUUCCUUUCCUUGCUUUCGUUGCUAAAAAUUCCUUUUUCUGGUUUUGUAUUGCAAAUUGUUUGUACCUACCUUUGUACAAUCUGACUAAAUGAGGAGGCUACGGUCUAUGU